CUGUCUUCAAGAGCAUGUAUACAAUACUGAGGGACAGACAGGUUACCUGUUCUUGAGAGCAUGAAUACAAUACUGAGGGACAGACAUGUUACCUGUUCUUGAGAGCAUGUAUACAAUACUGAGGGUCAGGGAGGUUUACCUGUCUUCAAGAGCAUGUAUACAAUACUGAGGGGCAGACAGGUUACCUGUUCUUGAGAGCAUGUAUACAAUACUAAGGGACAGGGAGGUUACCUGAUCUUGAGAGCAUGUAUACAAUACUGAGGGUCAGGGAGGUUUACCUGUCUUCAAGAGCAUGUAUACAACACAAGGGGUUAGGGAAAUUUACCUGUCUUCAAGAGCAUGUAUACAACACAGGGGCCCAGGGAGGUUUACCUGUCUUCAAGAGCAUGUAUACAACACUAGGGGUUAGGGAGAUUUACCUGUCUUCAAGAGCAUGUAUACAACAUUAGGGGUUAGGGAGAUUUACCUGUCUUCAAGAGCAUGUAUACAACACAAGGGGUUAGGGAGGUUUACCUGUCUUCAAGAGCAUGUAUACAACACUAGGGGUUAGGGAGAUUUACCUGUCUUCAAGAGCAUGUAUACAACACUAGGGGUUAGGGAGAUUUACCUGUCUUCAAGAGCAUGUAUAAACACUAGGGGUUAGGGAGAUUUACCUGUCUUCAAGAGCAUGUAUACAACACUAGGGGUUAGGGAGAUUUACCUGUCUUCAAGAGCAUGUAUACUACACAGGGGCCCAGGGAGGUUUACCUGUCUUCAAGAGCAUGUAUACAACACAAGGGGUUAGGGAGGUUUACCUGUCUUCAAGAGCUAGUAUACAACACUAGGGGUUAGGGAGAUUUACCUGUCUUCAAGAGCAUGUAUACAACACUAGGGGUUAGGGAGAUUUACCUGUCUUCAAGAGCAUGUAUACCACACAGGGGCCCAGGGAGGUUUACCUGUCUUCAAGAGCAUGUAUACAACACAAGGGGUUAGGGAGAUAUACCUGUCUUCAAGAGCAUGUAUACAACACUAGGGGUUAGGGAGAUUUACCUGUCCUCAAGAGCAUGUAUACAACACAGGGGGUUAGGGAGAUUUACCUGUCUUCAAGAGCAUGUAUACAACACUAGGGGUUAGGGAGGUUUACCUGUCUUCAAGAGCAUGUAUACAACACUAGGGGUUAGGGAGAUUUACCUGUCUUCAAGAGCAUGUAUACAACAUUAGGGGUUAGGGAGAUUUACCUGUCUUCAAGAGCAUGUAUACAACACAAGGGGUUAGGGAGGUUUACCUGUCUUCAAGAGCAUGUAUACAACACUAGGGGUUAGGGAGAUUUACCUGUCUUCAAUAGCAUGUAUACAACACUAGGGGUUAGGGAGAUUUACCUGUCUUCAAGAGCAUGUAUAAACACUAGGGGUUAGGGAGAUUUACCUGUCUUCAAGAGCAUGUAUACAACACUAGGGGUUAGGGAGAUUUACCUGUCUUCAAGAGCAUGUAUACUACACAGGGGCCCAGGGAGGUUUACCUGUCUUCAAGAGCAUGUAUACAACACAAUGGGUUAGGGAGAUUUACCUGUCUUCAAGUGCAUGUAUACUACACAGGGGCCCAGGGAGGUUUACCUGUCUUCAAGAGCAUGUAUACAACACAAGGGGUUAGGGAGGUUUACCUGUCUUCAAGAGCAUGUAUACAACACAAGGGGUUAGGGAGAUUUACCUGUCUUCAAGAGCAUGUAUACUACACAGGGGUUAGGGAGAUUUACCUGUCUUCAAGAGCAUGUAUAAACACUAGGGGUUAGGGAGAUUUACCUGUCUUCAAGAGCAUGUAUACAACACUAGGGGUUAGGGAGAUUUACCUGUCUUCAAGAGCAUGUAUACAACAUUAGGGGUUAGGGAGAUUUACCUGUCUUCAAGAGCAUGUAUACAACACAAGGGGUUAGGGAGGUUUACCUGUCUUCAAGAGCAUGUAUACAACACUAGGGGUUAGGGAGAUUUACCUGUCUUCAAGAGCAUGUAUACAACACUAGGGGUUAGGGAGAUUUACCUGUCUUCAAGAGCAUGUAUAAACACUAGGGGUUAGGGAGAUUUACCUGUCUUCAAGAGCAUGUAUACAACACUAGGGGUUAGGGAGAUUUACCUGUCUUCAAGAGCAUGUAUACUACACAGGGGCCCAGGGAGGUUUACCUGUCUUCAAGAGCAUGUAUACAACACAAGGGGUUAGGGAGGUUUACCUGUCUUCAAGAGCUAGUAUACAACACUAGGGGUUAGGGAGAUUUACCUGUCUUCAAGAGCAUGUAUACAACACUAGGGGUUAGGGAGAUUUACCUGUCUUCAAGAGCAUGUAUACUACACAGGGGCCCAGGGAGGUUUACCUGUCUUCAAGAGCAUGUAUACAACACAAGGGGUUAGGGAGAUAUACCUGUCUUCAAGAGCAUGUAUACAACACUAGGGGUUAAGGAGAUUUACCUGUCCUCAAGAGCAUGUAUACAACACAGGGGGUUAGGGAGAUUUACCUGUCUUCAAGAGCAUGUAUACAACACUAGGGGUUAGGGAGGUUUACCUGUCUUCAAGAGCAUGUAUACAACACAAGGGGUUAGGGAGAUUUACCUGUCUUCAAGAGCAUGUAUACAACACUAGGGGUUAGGGAGAUUUACCUGUCUUCAAGAGCAUGUAUACAACACUAGGGGUUAGGGAGAUUUACCUGUCUUCAAGAGCAUGUAUAAACACUAGGGGUUAGGGAGAUUUACCUGUCUUCAAGAGCAUGUAUACAACACUAGGGGUUAGGGAGAUUUACCUGUCUUCAAGAGCAUGUAUACUACACAGGGGCCCAGGGAGGUUUACCUGUCUUCAAGAGCAUGUAUACAACACAAGGGGUUAGGGAGGUUUACCUGUCUUCAAGAGCUAGUAUACAACACUAGGGGUUAGGGAGAUUUACCUGUCUUCAAGAGCAUGUAUACAACACUAGGGGUUAGGGAGAUUUACCUGUCUUCAAGAGCAUGUAUACUACACAGGGGCCCAGGGAGGUUUACCUGUCUUCAAGAGCAUGUAUACAACACAAGGGGUUAGGGAGAUAUACCUGUCUUCAAGAGCAUGUAUACAACACUAGGGGUUAAGGAGAUUUACCUGUCCUCAAGAGCAUGUAUACAACACAGGGGGUUAGGGAGAUUUAUCUGUCUUCAAGAGCAUGUAUACAACACUAGGGGUUAGGGAGGUUUACCUGUCUUCAAGAGCAUGUAUACAACACUAGGGGUUAGGGAGAUUUACCUGUCUUCAAGAGCAUGUAUACAACAUUAGGGGUUAGGGAGAUUUACCUGUCUUCAAGAGCAUGUAUACAACACAAGGGGUUAGGGAGGUUUACCUGUCUUCAAGAGCAUGUAUACAACACUGUGGGUUAGGGAGAUUUACCUGUCUUCAAGAGCAUGUAUACAACACUAGGGGUUAGGGAGAUUUACCUGUCUUCAAGAGCAUGUAUAAACACUAGGGGUUAGGGAGAUUUACCUGUCUUCAAGAGCAUGUAUACAACACUAGGGGUUAGGGAGAUUUACCUGUCUUCAAGAGCAUGUAUACUACACAGGGGCCCAGGGAGGUUUACCUGUCUUCAAGAGCAUGUAUACAACACAAGGGGUUAGGGAGGUUUACCUGUCUUCAAGAGCUAGUAUACAACACUAGGGGUUAGGGAGAUUUACCUGUCUUCAAGAGCAUGUAUACAACACUAGGGGUUAGGGAGAUUUACCUGUCUUCAAGAGCAUGUAUACUACACAGGGGCCCAGGGAGGUUUACCUGUCUUCAAGAGCAUGUAUACUACACAGGGGCCCAGGGAGGUUUACCUGUCUUCAAGAGCAUGUAUACAACACAAGGGGUUAGGGAGAUAUACCUGUCUUCAAGAGCAUGUAUACAACACUAGGGGUUAAGGAGAUUUACCUGUCCUCAAGAGCAUGUAUACAACACUAGGGGUUAGGGAGGUUUACCUGUCUUCAAGAGCAUGUAUACAACACUAGGGGUUAGGGAGAUUUACCUGUCUUCAAGAGCAUGUAUACAACAUUAGGGGUUAGGGAGAUUUACCUGUCUUCAAGAGCAUGUAUACAACACAAGGGGUUAGGGAGGUUUACCUGUCUUCAAGAGCAUGUAUACAACACUAGGGGUUAGGGAGAUUUACCUGUCUUCAAGAGCAUGUAUACAACACUAGGGGUUAGGGAGAUUUACCUGUCUUCAAGAGCAUGUAUAAACACUAGGGGUUAGGGAGAUUUACCUGUCUUCAAGAGCAUGUAUACAACACUAGGGGUUAGGGAGAUUUACCUGUCUUCAAGAGCAUGUAUACUACACAGGGGCCCAGGGAGGUUUACCUGUCUUCAAGAGCAUGUAUACAACACAAGGGGUUAGGGAGGUUUACCUGUCUUCAAGAGCUAGUAUACAACACUAGGGGUUAGGGAGAUUUACCUGUCUUCAAGAGCAUGUAUACAACACUAGGGGUUAGGGAGAUUUACCUGUCUUCAAGAGCAUGUAUACUACACAGGGGCCCAGGGAGGUUUACCUGUCUUCAAGAGCAUGUAUAC
rnacentral:misc_RNA from 1 species